GAGCGUGUAAGCUAAAGGUAAACCCCUCGAUUUUACACUCAGGGAUUGCGGGUUCGAUUCCCGCCGCGCUCACCC
rnacentral:tRNA from 1 species